AGUGAACGCUGGCGGUAGGCCUAACACAUGCAAGUCGAACGGCAGCACAGUAAGAGCUUGCUCUUACGGGUGGCGAGUGGCGGACGGGUGAGGAAUACAUCGGAAUCUACUUUUUCGUGGGGGAUAACGUAGGGAAACUUACGCUAAUACCGCAUACGACCUACGGGUGAAAGCAGGGGAUCUUCGGACCUUGCGCGAUUGAAUGAGCCGAUGUCGGAUUAGCUAGUUGGCGGGGUAAAGGCCCACCAAGGCGACGCUCCGUAGCUGGUCUGAGAGGAUGAUCCGCCACAUUGGAACUGAGACACGGUCCAGACUCCUACGGGAGGCAGCAGUGGGGAAUAUUGGACAAUGGGCGAAAGCCUGAUCCAGCCAUACCGCGUGGGUGAAGAAGGCCUUCGGGUUGUAAAGCCCUUUUGUUGGGAAAGAAAAGCAGCAGGUUAAUACCCCGCUGUUAUGACGGUACCCAAAGAAUAAGCACCGGCUAACUUCGUG
rnacentral:rRNA from 1 species